AUAAUGAGAGGAGCCCAAUACUUUCUUUUUAGGGUUUCACCUCUCUUUCUCAUCAGUUUCUCACUCCCUCUCUCUCUCUCUCAUCAAUCGCUCACUCCCUCUCUCUCUCCUCUCCUCUCCUCUCCUCCCCGUCAUUCACCUCUCCUCUCCUUCCCUCCCAUCUCCAAUACUUGAGUAGCGAUUAUGUUCAUCUUGAGACAAGCAACUUGACCGGCGGCUUCAUAUAAGAGCUCCCAAGCGGCGUCGUUUUGGGCGGAGGUGUAACCGGCGGUGACAGAACUCUUGCUCAAAAACCCACUCCGGUUCGACUAGGGUCCGAACCCGGUUAGCGUCGAUAAUGGCGACGUUGAGAACAACCAAGCCCGUAGGCUUCUUCAUCUUUAGAUCUAAGUCAUUGAACGAACUGAUGCUAGAAGGAAAGAAAGCGAAAUUGACAUGGAAUAAUGUCAAGAAAGACAAGCUUGUGGUCUCCACUUCCUGCUCACUUCUUCACACUAUUGUUGAUCUUGUUAACGAGACUUAAAGCUUGAUGAUGAAAUCAAGUCAUGGCUUGCAUUUGCUGCACAGAAAGUUGUUGAAGUUAACGCUUUGGCCAAGGCAUUGUCUGGUUAGAAGGAUGAGGCAAGAGACUUGCUACCAAAUUGCUUUGGCCAUCAAGGAUGAGGUUAAGGAUCUUGAGAAGGCUGGUAUCAAUGUUAUCCAAAUUGACGAGGUUGCUUUGAGAGAAGGUUUGCCACUCAAGAAGUCUUAGCACGGUAGCUACUUGAAGUGGGUCGUCCACUCCUUCCAUAUCACCAAUGUUGGAGUCCAAGACCCAGAUUUCCCCAUUGCCCAGGAAUUUACACUAAUGAGCAAGUCGAAGCAAGGAAGAAAGUGGUUAAUGUUGUUCACACAAAGGGUGCAUUCAUCUUCUAUCAGUUGGUCGAGCCUCGCAUACAAAUUAACUAUUCACUCUAUAUAGUUAUAAAUUUUCAUGUUGUAUUAAGGACUAUUAUUUAUAUAGUAGCUUUUGACUCAUGUUAGGGAGUUGUUGUAAAAAUGUAUCUUUGAUUUUAUAAUUAAUUAAAUUUUACAUUUAUUAUUAUUGAAUAUUGAUAAUAGUAAUUAAAAUUUGGCAUCAUAAAA